GGGGUUGUGGCUCAGCGGUAGAGCACUCACCUGGCACGUGUGAGGCCCUGAGUUCGAUCCUCGGCACCA
rnacentral:tRNA from 1 species